CCUACGGGAGGCAGCAGUGGGGAAUAUUGCACAAUGGGGGAAACCCUGAUGCAGCGACGCCGCGUGAGUGAAGAAGUAUUUCGGUAUGUAAAGCCCUAUCAGCAGGGAAGAAAAUGACGGUAACUGACUAAUAAGCCCCGGCUAACUACGUGCCAGCAGCCGCGGUAAUACGGAGGGGGCAAGCGUUACUCGGAUUUACUGGGUGUAAAGGGAGCGUAGACGGCCAGACAAGUCAGAAGUGAAAGCCCAUGGCUCAACCCUGGGACUGCGUUUGAAACUGUCGGGCUAGAGUGCAGGAGAGGUAAGCGGAAUUCCUAGUGUAGGGGUAAAAUGCGUAGAUAUUAGGAGGAACACCAGUGGCGAAGGCGACCUACUGGACUAUAACUGACGUUGAGGCGCGAAAGCGUGGGGAGCAAACAGGAUUAGAUACCCGGGUAGUC
rnacentral:rRNA from 1 species